CCUCAAACCUUUCUACUGUUAUGGAGUUAUAGCAGGUCAGAUCCAGAUCCUGAGGUUCAAGGUUCAGUCGGAUCAGAACAUGAACAAUCCUGCAGUAAAGGCAGCACUCCUGGAGAAGAUCCUGCAGAAACUGAAGGAACAUGGGAUGGACCAGAACAUCACACUGAAGUGGAGGGAGCAGCCAGGAGGAGAUCUGUUC